GAUGAACGCUGGCGGCGUGCUUAACACAUGCAAGUCGAACGAUGAAGCCCAGCUUGCUGGGUGGAUUAGUGGCGAACGGGUGAGUAACACGUGAGUAACCUGCCCUUAACUCUGGCAUAAGCCGGGGCAACUGGCUCUAAUACCGGAUAGGAGCGCCUACCGCAUGGUGGGUGUUGGAAAGAUUUAUCGGUUUUGGAUGGCCUCGCGGCCUAUCAGCUUGUUGGUGGGGUAAUGGUUCACCAAGGCGACGACGGGUAGCCGGCCUGAGAGGGUGACCGGCCACACGGGGACUGAGACACGGCGCAGACUCCUACGGGAGGCAGUAGGGGGGAGUAUUGCACAAUGGGGGAAAGCGUGAUGCGGAGACGCCGCGUGAGGGAUGACGGCCUUCGGGUUAUAAACCUCUGUCAGUAGGGAAGAAGCGAAAGUGACGGUACCUGCAGAGGAAGCACCGGCUAACUACGUG
rnacentral:rRNA from 1 species